UACGAGUGCCCCAAGCGUUAUCCGGAAUUAUUGGGCGUAAGGGGUGUGUAGGUUGUCUUGUUAGUCCACUGUGAAAUUCUUCGGCUUAACCGGGGGUCCGCAGUGGAAACGGCAGGACUAGAGGAUGCGAGAGGUGUGCGGAACUCAUGGUGUAGGGGUGAAAUCCGUUGAUAUCAUGGGGAACACCAAAAGCGAAGGCAGCACACUGGCGCACUCCUGACACUGAAACACGAAAGCGUGGGUAGCGAAUGGG
rnacentral:rRNA from 1 species